CAAUUUAAAUUUUAUAAAAUAAAAAUUUCAUUUACAUUGAAAAUAAAUUUGUGCAAGUCAAAUUAAAUUGA
rnacentral:tRNA from 1 species